rfam:Oryza barthii chromosome 5, whole genome shotgun sequence.
UUUAAGUGCAACCGUGAGUUUCCGCACCAAACUUUGAUCGUCCGUCUUAUUUGAAAAUUUUUUAUAAUUAGUAUUUUUAUUGUUACGAGAUGAUCAUAAAACAUGAAUAGUAUUUUACUCGUGACUUAUGUUUUUUAUUUUUUAAAAAAAGUUUUCAAAUAAGACGGACGAUUAAAGUUGAGCGCGAAAAACCAUAUCUACAUUUAAA